GGGGAAUAUUGGACAAUGGGCGCAAGCCUGAUCCAGCCAUGCCGCGUGAGUGACGAAGGCCUUAGGGUUGUAAAGCUCUUUUGGCGGGGACGAUAAUGACGGUACCCGCAGAAUAAGCCCCGGCUAACUUCGUGCCAGCAGCCGCGGUAAUACGAAGGGGGCUAGCGUUGUUCGGAAUUACUGGGCGUAAAGCGCACGUAGGCGGAUGUGCCAGUCAGGGGUGAAAUCCCGAGGCUCAACCUCGGAACUGCCUCCGAUACAGCACGUCUCGAGUCCGGAAGAGGUGAGUGGAAUUCCUAGUGUAGAGGUGAAAUUCGUAGAUAUUAGGAAGAACACCAGUGGCGAAGGCGGCUCACUGGUCCGGUACUGACGCUGAGGUGCGAAAGCGUGGGGAGCAAAC
rnacentral:rRNA from 1 species